rnacentral:lncRNA from 1 species
UGGGCCCUCAGGGUCGAGGUUGCGGUCCGCAUCGCCUCCUGCCCCAGAUCGGAUUAGGUGUGCAGUUGCCUACAUAUGCCUGUGGCCUCAAGGCCAUGUAGAAAUUGUCCCUGGUUCAGCCAAAGCAAAUUCAACUGUGCUUUUUCCCCAAGUCUGCAUUCAGUGACAUCAUGUUGGUGGAUUGAAAUCAGCCACAGUGGGAAUAUUUACACCACAGAAAUGGGCAGCAACCACCACAAAUCAGGGCUUUAUUCAUUAUUUGGUUGACUAUCUAGACUUAAGAGGCAGGGAACCCACGGAGAGUGAGAAUUUGGAGAUUCAGG